AGCCUCUUAGCUCAGUAGAUCAGAGCGUUUGCUGUACUAGAGUCUUUUCCUUGCUGGCGUGGGUUCAAAUCCCACCGGGGCCA
rnacentral:tRNA from 1 species